AGAGCGAACGCUGGCGGCAGGCCUAACACAUGCAAGUCGAGCGGCCGUAGCAAUACGGCAGCGGCAGACGGGAUAGUAACACGUGGGAACGCGCCCUUCGGUUCGGAAUAACUCAGGGAAACUUGAGCUAAUACCGGAUACGCCCUUACGGGGAAAGAUUUAUUGCCGAAGGAACGGCCCGCGUCCGAUUAGCUAGUUGGUGAGGUAAUGGCUCACCAAGGCUACGAUCGGUAGCUGGUCUGAGAGGAUGACCAGCAUCACUGGGACUGAGACACGGCCCAGACUCCUACGGGAGGCAGCAGUGGGGAAUAUUGGACAAUGGGCGCAAGCCUGAUCCAGCCAUGCCGCGUGGAUGAUGACGGCCUUAGGGUUGUAAAGUCCUUUUAACGGGGAAGAUAAUGACGGUACCCGUAGAAUAAGCCCGGCUAACUUCGUGCCAGCAGCCGC
rnacentral:rRNA from 1 species